CAGCACCUCAAGUGGUCAGGAUGAUUAUUGGGCCUAAAGCAUCCGUAGCCGGCGCUGUAAGUUUUCGGUUAAAUCUGUACGCUCAACGUACAGGCUGCCGGGAAUACUGCAGCGCUAGGGAGUGGGAGAGGUAGACGGUACUCGGUAGGAAGGGGUAAAAUCCUUUGAUCUAUUGAUGACCACCUGUGGCGAAGGCGGUCUACCAGAACACGUCCGACGGUGAGGGAUGAAAGCUGGGGGAGCAAACCGGAUUAGAUAUCCGAGUAGUCC
rnacentral:rRNA from 1 species